CAGCAGCCGCGGUAAUACGUAGGGUGCAAGCGUUAAUUGGAAUUACUGGGCGUAAAGCGUGCGCAGGCGGUUAUAUAAGACAGAUGUGAAAUCCCCGGGCUCAACCUGGGAACUGCAUUUGUGACUGUAUAGCUAGAGUACGGCAGAGGGGGAUGGAAUUCCGCGUGUAGCAGUGAAAUGCGUAGAUAUGCGGAGGAACACCGAUGGCGAAGGCAAUCCCCUGGGCCUGUACUGACGCUCAUGCACGAAAGCGUGGGGAGCAAACAGGAUUAGAGACCCCAGUAGUCCCUGUCUCUUAUAC
rnacentral:rRNA from 1 species